GACGAACGCUGGCGGCGUGCUUAACACAUGCAAGUCGAACGGAAAGGCCCUGCUUUUGUGGGGUGCUCGAGUGGCGAACGGGUGAGUAACACGUGAGUAACCUGCCCUUGACUUUGGGAUAACUUCAGGAAACUGGGGCUAAUACCGGAUAGGAGCUCCUGCUGCAUGGUGGGGGUUGGAAAGUUUCGGCGGUUGGGGAUGGACUCGCGGCUUAUCAGCUUGUUGGUGGGGUAGUGGCUUACCAAGGCUUUGACCGGUAGCCGGCCUGAGAGGGUGACCGGCCACAUUGGGACUGAGAUACGGCCCGGACGCCUACGGGAGGCAGCAGUGGGGAAUAUUGCACAAUGGGCGGAAGCCUGAUGCAGCAACGCCGCGUGCGGGAUGACGGCCUUCGGGUUGUAAACCGCUUUCGCCUGUGACGAAGCGUGAGUGACGGUAAUGGGUAAAGAAGCACCGGCUAACUACGUG
rnacentral:rRNA from 1 species